rnacentral:rRNA from 1 species
UGAGGAACAUGACCUUCGGCGGGGGAUAGCCGGCCCAACGGCCGGGUAAUACCGCGUACGACCACUCGGGGACAUCCCCAGGUGGUGAAAGCAGCAAUACGCCGAUGGAGUGCCUCGCGGCCUAUCAGCUAGUUGGUGAGGUAACGGCUCACCAAGGCGACGACGGGUAGCCGGCCUGAGAGGGUGACCGGCCACACUGGGACUGAGACACGGCCCGGACUCCUAUGGGAGGCAG